GACGAACUCUGGCGGCGUGCUUAACACAUUCAAGUCGAACGGAAAUGCCCUGCUUUUGUGGGGUGCUCGAGUGGCUAACGGGUGAGUAACACGUUAGUAACCUGCCCUUGACUUUGGGAUAACUUCAUGAAACUGGGGCUAAUACCUGAUAGGAGCUCCUGCUGCAUGGUGGGGUUUGGAAAGUUUCGGCGGUUGGGGAUGGACUCGCGGCUUAUCAGCUUGUUGGUGGGGUAGUGGCUUACCAAGGCUUUGACGGGUAGCCGGCCUGAGAGGGUGACCGGCCACAUUGGGACUGAGAUACGGCCCAGACUCCUACGGGAGGCAGCAGUGGGGAAUAUUGCACAAUGGGCGGAAGCCUGAUGCAGCAACGCCGCGUGCGGGAUGACGGCCUUCGGGUUGUAAACCGCUUUCGCCUGUGACGAAGCGUGAGUGAAGGUAAUGGGUAAAGAAGCACCGGCUAACUACGUG
rnacentral:rRNA from 1 species